GGCUUCACAGCUCAGUUGGUCAGCUAUUAACUGUGGUUGGUCGAGCAUCGUACCGGUAUCGCGGAGGUCACGGGUUCGAAUCCCGUUGAAGCCC
rnacentral:tRNA from 1 species